rnacentral:RNase_P_RNA from 2 species
UGAGCCGAUCGGGUGAACGCGGCACUCCGAACCAACCACGUAUGUGGCCAGGCGGAACACCGAGGAAAGUCCGGACUCCACAGGGCACGGUGGUUGCUAACGGCAACCCGGGGCGACCCGCGGGAAAGUGCAACAGAAAGUAGACCGCCCGCGCCGUGAGCGCGAGUGAGGGUGAAAGGGUGCGGUAAGAGCGCACCGGCGGGGUAGGUGACUAUCCCGGCCAGGUAAACCCCACCGGGAGCAAGGCAACGAGGCGCACCCCUGUGUGCGCCGGGAGCGAAUGUUUGAGGGCUGCCCGCCCGAGUUCGCAGGUAGCUGCUUGAGGCGAUCAGCGAUGAUCGACCCAGAUGGAUGUUCACCGCCGCCCACCGAUGGUGGGCGGAACAGAAUCCGGCUCAUAGAUCGACUCAUUCG